UCCCUGGUGGCUCAGACAGUAAAGUGUCUGCCUGUAAUGCGGGAGACCUGGGUUCGAUCCCUGGCUCGGGAA
rnacentral:tRNA from 1 species